UGGGGAAUUUUUGGCAAUGGGCGCAAGCCUGACCAAGCAACGCCGCGUGGGUGAUGAAGUAUCUUGGUACGUAAAACCCUUUCGGCAGGGACGAACCUAAUGACGGUACCUGCGGAAGAAGCCCCGGCUAACUCCGUGCCAGCAGCCGCGGUAAUACGGGGGGGGCAAGCGUUGUUCGGAAUUACUGGGCGUAAAGGGCGCGUAGGCGGUUGGAUAAGUCAGCUGUGAAAACCACGGGCUUAACUCGUGGCCUGCAGUUGAGACUGUCUGGCUUGAGUGUGGGAGAGGAGAGUGGAAUUCCUGGUGUAGCGGUGAAAUGCGUAGAUAUCAGGAGGAACACCGGUGGCGAAGGCGGCUCUCUGGACCACAACUGACGCUGAGGCGCGAAAGCUAGGGGAGCAAAC
rnacentral:rRNA from 1 species